CCGGGUCGCUGGCAGGGGCCGGCCCCUUCGCGGCCGGUGGGCGCCGAGGACGGGCUGCGGUGCCCUGCCGCCUUCGGGACCGGGCGAUUCCUCCGGGCUUCCACCUCCUUCUUCCCCACUGGGGUGCUCGCUCUCCUUUCGCCCCCUUUUUGUCCUUCUCGCCCUUUACUCUCGCUGCUCCAUGGGGCCGAAGGAGGGGGCGAGGAGGUCCCCGUGGAGCCGGUGCGAGCAGAGGGCGGGCGGGCGGCUGCCGGAGCUGGCGCUUCUCCGCGUCCGUCCGGGCUCGGUGCUCCUCGGGGGCGCUGCCGCUGCUGCCGUUCGGCGCUCCCGGGGCGCGGGGAGAAGCUCUCAGGGCCGUCGGGGAUACUCCGCUCUCUCCGGCUUCGAGCGCUGUCAGUGCCGGGACGCCGGGCUGGCUCCUCGCUGCGAGGCGGGCAGCAGACGGGUUAUUAGGGUUAUUAGUGUUAUUGUCAUUAUCUCUCCCUUCCCCUGUGGUUGUGUGUCUCUCCACCACUUUCAGACCAGCCCAUUAUAACGCCGGCGAGAGGCGGAGCCAGGACAAAGAUCUGAAAGGGUGGUGGGUGGAGAAGCAAGGUAGCCAAGGUCCCUCCCCUUCCCGGGUAUUUCGAACGAAGCCGCAGUUCGGCGCGACUAAGCAGAGCCGGCCCGCCUCCCAGGUGUAAAAUGCAGAAUGACUUAUAGGUGGCAGAGCUGAACCUGUUACGUGCAGUGAUUUAUUUUAAUAGCGCCGUAUAAAGCAACAAGUUGUAAUAUGACAGCUCAACAACCUGUUGGAAAAUAAUACAUGGCUUUGCAGUUGUGAAUUCCUAAUGAUUUAUGUAGCCUGACAAAACAGUUUCAGUCCUGGUCUUCUCUUUCCUUCUGUCAUAAGCACACCUGGUGCAGAGGUAGAGUGGGAACAGGUAGGCAAUGCUUUGGAGUUUUGCUAUGAGAGAGUUAGACAAAGCCUUAACCUCAGUUUUAUGUAUCUCUUUCUGUAGUAGCAUUGCUUAAGCUGUUCUGGAUGGUGUGUUUGUAACCUCUCUCUUACAACUGACACUCUCUAGUAAAAUCUUUUAUUGUGUAGGUUUUGGGUUCGGGUGUUUUUAAUGGUAUCUUUAACAUUUUUAAAUCACCGCGAGUCUGUAAAUUUCCCAUAAUACUUGGGACUAUGUAUUCUGCAAUUUUACCUAGACACUCUCCUUCUUUAAAAAAAUUAGUCAUACUUUUUGGGUUUCUUUUUGGGUUUAAGUUGUCAGGGUUUUGGGGUCUUGCCCUCCUUCAGAGUUUUUUUUUUCCCUCUCCUUCAACAUUAUGCUAGGUAGAAGAAGUCAAUGAAGAGAGCUAGCUGGCAGCAGCUUCUCUGAAAACUCUCUGUUCUGCUCACUGUUCAGAGUCCAUUGCAAAAUUCCAUUUCACUUCAUAUGGCAGUAGUGCUGGCGUCUGCAAAACAAUAACAAUAACAUCAGCAGAAAUCCAGUGUGGUGCUUAUGUUUUAUUUCUCAUAUGUAUGCUUUGAAUUUUGUGUCCUGGAGUAAGAGUUGGAUUGCUCCAUAUUUUCCAAAAGCAGUCUUUCUAAAUCAGACCUUAUUUUAGAAUAAAUACAUAAUGCAGAGUCACUCUGGUUAGAACAAUUCCACUGUGGUCUGGCUCUCAAGGAGUAUUGGAGAGGAAGAUGAAAAAAACGCAGGUUUAAAAGACUAAGAGGAGAAACAAACAGCCCUACUUUCUAUCUUGAUCUCUCUUGAACAGAAUAUAUGUUCCCCCACACACACCUGCAUUUUAUUUCAAAGCUUCGCCAUUUCUUCUGUCUGCAUGAGUUUACGUGGUAAAUACUGAAGAGUGAGGGGUUCUUAUGUCCCCCUUUUGAAAACUUUAAUGGAAAUAAUAAUACCCUGGAUGUCUUGCUGUUCUCACAAAAGCUGUACCAGUUGAGAAAAGCAGGCAAUUCAGAAAGACAAAAAUAAGAGGAGGGAGACCUCUCUUGGUUCAUUGUUGUUGUUGUCUCCAUGUGAUGUAAACUGAAAUCCUUCAGUAAAGUGUUGUCUUAGCUGUUGGUGCCAAUGUUUGUGUUUAAGGGUAUGGGAAAAAGGUAUCAUUCCUUCCAAAACUCAUAUUUUCUAUGAUGAUGCCAAUGGCAAGGGUAGGUUUGUUCCUCUUCCUGCUUUUGUUGUAAAUAGCAGUGAAGUAGCGAUGAUUUGCUAGCUUGCCUUUGAUGUUUAUUUUAUUACCGUUCCACUAUUUGUGUGGAAAAUGUACACAUUGUCUCUUAUCUUUAUUCAAAGAACUUAAAAAGUCAUUCAAAUGCUGUAGGUAAACACGUCAGACAUAACAGAAGCUUUUUCACAGCCAUACUUCAAGACUAGGAGUGGAUGGCAAAGCUGGUUUUUCAAGAUUCAAGAGGGGACAGAAGCUUGUACUCAAAAUAAUACAAAGAUAGCUAUUAAUGGGUGGGAGCAGGGAACCUUUCUGAGAUCAGCGCUGAUUCUUGUUGUGGCUCAAGGCCCCUUUGCUAUCUCUGAGCCAGUGCCUGUUGUAAACUCUCCCUUGAAAUCUCUGGUGGCUCUGACCUAAGAAAAUAUAUGAAAAGUGCUUAUGAAAGGUCUGUGCCGGGUUUAAACAGAGCCUUCCUGGCCUGAAUGAGAGCAAUAUCAAGCCCAUUGCUAACGCUGCCAAUGAAACACAAGCAAAGUUGUAAGAAGUGGUGAAAUAUUCCAACUACUCCCAUCUCUCACCACUGAGAGUAUAUGUAACCUCAAGUCUUUUCCUGCUAUAGUUUUUAAAAAGGCACAGUAUCGCCUUCAGGUUUAUAAAGAUUAACACAAUCAUCGGAAAAACUGAUUCUGUUAAGUAAACUUCACAUCAAAAGCACUUUGAUGUGCUGUAUUAUAGCAAAGCCAAACACCCCACCCCCAUCACCCCAAGAAAAAUCUCCAAAAACCUCCAGUGAAGCAAGGUAAAAAAAAAUCUAAUUCUUUGUUCUAAAAUGAAAUGUCUCUUCCUCUUUAGAUCAGCAGAGUAGGACUUUUUUGAUGUACAAUCCCCUCUUUUCCUACCCAAAACAGUAUCCAGUCAAAGACAAACGGAGAAACGUGAAUGGUUGCUUGAAAAUCACGCGAUCAGCUUUGCUUCCCAUUUUUUGUAGUAUUUCACUCAUUUAAUUCAGAAAUAGUCUGCCAAUGGGUACUUGGAAAUGAGGUUGUAUAGUCCUUUGCAAUUUGCUCAAGCUACCAAUUACAAAAAUAUUCUGUACUAAAUGUAGAAAAAUGCUUUGCUGUCUGGUGGUUGUGAGUUUAUUUUUGGUUGAUCCAUGUUGUCUCCAUGGUAUUUUAAACCAUGGAGAUAUGUGUUUUUUAGUUCAGCAAACAUUGUUCAAAGGUGUGUCACGAUAUGUUCUUGGUUCAAAUUCUUUUUAAAAAUUAUUUCUUCUAGUUUUUUUUCUUUUUUUUUCACUCAGUUCUUUCUUACUUCUCUUUUCUGCCUUCAGUCUCUCCAGAUCUCUAACUAUAGAAUAGAGAGGAGGGUUUCCAAGUAAGGUCAUAUAAGAACAACUGGCCAGUAAAAGUCUCUGUGGUGUCUGGAAAGUCCUAUAGUUAGUGGCAGGCAAGCUUAUUUGUGCACCUGACAUGUCCAGCACAGCAGCUGGACAAAGUGCUCCAUCAUCCCUUCUCCUCCUGUGGCAAGCUGCAGGAGUGCCCUGCCUUGCCAGGAGCGAGCAGCCUGGACAAUGCAAUACACGACGUGAGAAACAAUGGAGCAGUUCAAAGAGCUCGCUCUGGACAGGCUGCUCGCAGCAGGAGAUGUGCCUAGCAUGCAUAAAUGAACUGCAGGCUGUGAGGGCUGGCUAAUUGCACUAUGUAUAUUUUUGUAGUUGAAGGAAAUCCAGCUAGAGAUCAGCCGUAAGAGAGGAGGUUACUGGAAAUUCCUUUAGAUCUUGAGAGGAAGAGUUUGAUCACUGAAGCAGAAUGCAUGUCUGCGUGAAUUCCCUCAUUGGGAAAGACCGGCACUUUUUCAGAAGAACAUCCAUUCCCUGUGGGCAGAGAUUUUCUCGUGUCUUUGGCAGGUACUAAGAGCUGAAUUUACAAUGGGGAGUUCCAUUUCAAUUUUGUUUCAUGCAGUCUUUAUUUUCUUGGGAGACAUUACUCAGAAUGAAAUUUUCCCAUGCUGAGAGCUUAGUAUCACUUCCUCCCUGUGCCCACUGCAUGUUCCAUAAAAAAUGUCUGCAUCUAAGCAAAUUUUUUUUUUCUCCAGAGCCAUGGAUUGUGACAGAAUGGGCAGGCACAGAUGUUCUCCUGUGAAGGAAGUGACAUUAUUGUUCGUGUUAUUAAUGCUUAGUACUGGAGAAAAAAAUCCAGAUUCUUACACCAUCCUUUUCACCAACAAAUCUCAGAGCUCUCCCAUUUUACAGGUGACAAGGAAUGAUGGCGAGUCCUGCUGAAAAUAAUUUGCCCUCCUGGACAGCUCCAGAACCAUUGGAAUCUUUGAAAAUCUGGUCCAUGCUGCUGCUGGCUUACUCCUGGAACAGAGAGCGGAGUUAUACCGAGGGCGCGUCCACUGCAGUACCUCAGGUGGCGAGGGAUGGGGAUUUAUAUCCUGCAAACUGGUUCUAAAAAUCGAGCAUGUUUUCACCGCCUUUCAGAGAAAUGUAACAAAUACUUGGAGAGCUGGUCCUUCUGUUGCUGCAGAUGUAAUAAAAUCAUUACUUUGUUGAGUUGCAUGCACUGUGUAUUUGAUUUCCAGUUCCUAGGUGAGUUCUUAAGGGAUUAGCUGAGUUUCAGUCUCUUUAAGGUGUGAAUAAACAUCCUGUUGCCUCACACCCAUGAAAUUUCUUCCCAACAGUUGUCAGAGUGCUUUGUGCAGAGUGUUGCUAUUUUGGUUCUCUAAGUAAAGGUUCACAGGGUUUGAAUGUCAUGGCCAAACUUACAUGAUCUAAGAUGGGAAUGGAACAUGGGUUUCCUAAUUCCUCCACUACUUCUCUACCUACUAACCCUGUUGUUUCCCUGAACCUUUACAUAUACUUUAGUAGAUUAAUAAUUAACCUCCAAGUGGGGCACUUUGAAGCAAAUGUAAAAUGAAACCAAACACUUGUCAUGGUUUUUAGUCAUACCAGAUUUGCAAGUAGGGUGUGUUUAAAUGAUGCAAGUAGAUAAAGUCUUGUUAAUUUAGAUUAGAGUAAAAGUCAGUGCCUUAUCAAAGCAAGUGACUAAUUAGGAAAACUAUUACCUUUUGGAAAAGAAACAGUUGAACUAUCACUCAAAAUUAUUUUAACUAAUUGAACUGUGCAACUGCUCAGGCUCCUGCAACUGCUGAGAAAGAGGAAAGACAGAGAGCUUUUCCCAGGAAUUGCCAGUGUUCUGGGGACUUUUUGAUAAUUUUGCUUUUAGAAAGUUAACAAUACUUGUCAUCACUGCGUAAACAAAGAGAAGGGAGGAGAGUCCCACGAGUCAUCAAGGAGCCAAAUAUACAGAAUUUAAGUGAAGAACUGGAGCAUUUGUACUAAAUACACUGCCUUCAUUCUCUUCACCUUACUGAGCCAACAGGACAGCAAAGUGCUUGUGAAUGGUUUGAAAUGAUGAAGUGAAUCUCAGGUCUGUAAUAACAGACAUUGGGCAUUUGGGAACCUGCAAGGGUGGAAACAGCAGGGCAAAUUCAUGGUGUGAAAAGAAAGAUUACGAUCAGACUGUAUUUAU